rnacentral:rRNA from 1 species
UGCGCAGGCGGAAUGAUAAGUCAGUGGUGAAAUCCUACGGCCUAACCGUAGAACUGCCAUUGAUACUGUCAUUCUUGAGUACAUAUGAAGUGGGCGGAAUGUGUCAUGUAGCGGUGAAAUGCAUAGAUAUGACACAGAACACCGAUAGCGAAGGCAGCUCACUAAAUUGUAACUGACGCUCAUGCACGAAAGCGUGGGGAGCAAACAGGAUUAGAUACCCUGGUAGUCC